rnacentral:misc_RNA from 1 species
GUGGAGGAGGACGCCGAAGGUGGGGCUAAUGACUGGGGUGAAGUCGUAACAAGGUAGCCGUACCGGAAGGUGCGGCUGGAUCACCUCCUAACAGGGAGACAACAAAAUGUUUAAUAUUAUUAUUUUGUCACCUUAGGUCGAUCGGUAUCUCACAUUUUUAAUUUAUUAAGAAUUUCUUUUCCUAAGUUUUUCUAGGUCACACCCAUUAUUUUUCCUGGGCCAUUAGCUCAGGUGGUUAGAGCGCACCCCUGAUAAGGGUGAGGUCCCUGGUUCAAGUCCAGGAUGGCCCAUAUCUCUAUGUUGGGGGUAUAGCUCAGUUGGUAGAGCGCCUGCUUUGCAAGCAGGAUGUCAGCGGUUCGAGUCCGCUUACCUCCACUGAUUACCACCUCUUCCAUAACCGGUAGAAAGGAAAUGUUUUGAGGUGUGAUCAAAUUCUGAAAGAAUCUAGCUUCCUAAUGAAAUCAUUAAGAUGCUGGAUUCAUUGAAUUAAUUUCAUUGUUUUCAGAGAACCUUGACAACUGCAUAGAUUAUUUUUAAAGACAAUAAGCAUCUUUAAUGAUGCAGAUUUAUUAUUUGUGCGAAUGCAUUAAUAACAAUUCUAUUAAGCUGAUGCUUCAAUUUUUGAAGUUAUUGGUCAAGCUACAAAGGGCUCACGGAGG